CACGUAGGGUGCAAGCGUUGUCCGGAUUCAUUGGGCGUAAAGGGCUAGUAGGCGGCUUAGCAAGUCGGGUGUGAAAUUUCCAGGCUUAACCUGGAACCGCCAUCCGAUACUGCUAUGGCUAGAGUCCGGUAGGGGACCACGGAAUACCUGGUGUAGCGGUGAAAUGCGUAGAUAUCGAGAGGAACACCUGCGGCGAAGGCGGGGUUGCUGGGCUGACACUGACGCUGAGACGCGAAAGCGUGGGGAGCAAACAGG
rnacentral:rRNA from 1 species